UUAAGAAAAGUUCAGGGAGAUUGCUGUAUAGGAUCUGCUCACUCACAUGUGCCUUAUUGGUUCUCAAAAUUGGCUACACAUUUUAACCUCUUUGGGAACUUAAAGAAUAUUAAUAUCUGGGUCCUAUCACUAGAGAUUUCUGUUUAUUUUGACUAGAGUGUGACAUGGAGAUCAGGAUCUAGGACACUCCAGGUGAUUUUAGUGUGCAGCCAAUGUCCAGAAUUAUUGCCUGGAGUCUUUUUCCCUCUCAACUCCUUUACCUUACAGGCUGUCAUUAAUCAAACGAUUAAGAAGACAGAGGAGAAGGACACAAGACCAUGA